UGGCGUAGUGGUCACUGCACUCGCCUUGCACGCGGGAGACCUGGGUUCGAUUCCCUG
rnacentral:tRNA from 1 species